UGAGGAAUAUUGGUCAAUGGACGCAAGUCUGAACCAGCCAAGUAGCGUGCAGGAUGACGGCCCUAUGGGUUGUAAACUGCUUUUAUAUGGGGAUAAAGUGGGGAACGUGUUCCCUUUUGCAGGUACCAUAUGAAUAAGGACCGGCUAAUUCCGUGCCAGCAGCCGCGGUAAGACGGAAGGUUCGGGCGUUAUCCGGAUUUAUUGGGUUUAAAGGGAGCGUAGGCCGUUUGGUAAGCGUGUUGUGAAAUGUAGGAGCUCAACUUCUAGAUUGCAGCGCGAACUGUCAGACUUGAGUGCGCACAACGUAGGCGGAAUUCAUGGUGUAGCGGUGAAAUGCUUAGAUAUCAUGAAGAACUCCGAUUGCGAAGGCAGCUUACGGGAGCGCAACUGACGCUGAAGCUCGAAGGUGCGGGUAUCGAACAGG
rnacentral:rRNA from 1 species